UACGUAGGUGGCAAGCGUUGUCCGGAUUUACUGGGCGUAAAGCGCGCGCAGGUGGCCUGUCGCGUCCGAGGUGAAAUCUCCCGGCUCAACUGGGAGGGGUCUUCGGAUACGGGCAGGCUUGAGGAGAGCAGAGGUAGGCGGAAUUCUGGGUGUAGUGGUGAAAUGCGUAGAUAUCCAGAGGAACACCAGUGGCGAAGGCGGCCCACUGGGCUCCACCUGACACUGAGGCGCGAAAGCGUGGGGAGCGAACCGG
rnacentral:rRNA from 1 species